CCUACAAUUGACAUACUGUGAANUUUCUAGAGAUAGANUAGUGCCUUCGGGAACGCAGAUACAGGUGCUGCAUGGCUGUCGUCAGCUCGUGUCGUGAGAUGUUGGGUUAAGUCCUAUAACGAGCGCAACCCUUACCCUUAUUUGCCAGCGGUUCGGCCGGGAACUAUAAGGGAACUGCCGGUAAUAAGCCGGAGGAAGGUGGGGACGACGUCAAGUCAUCAUGGCCCUUACAUGUAGGGCUACACACGUGCUACAAUGGGAGAUACAAACGGUUGCCAAAGCGCGAGCUGGAGCUAAUCCGAUAAAGUCUCUCGUAGUCCGAAUUGCAGUCUGGAACUCGACUGCAUGAAGCCGGAAUCGCUAGUAAUCGCGGAUCAGCAUGCCGCGGUGAAUACGUUCUCGGGUCUUGUACACACCGCCCGUCACACCAUGGGAGUGCAUUGCACCAGAAGUAGAUAGNUUAACCUUCGGGAUGGCGUUUACCACGGUGUGGUCCAUGACUGGGGUGAAGUCGUAACAAGGUA
rnacentral:rRNA from 1 species